AUCGGUGGUUUUUUUACCUUCGUUCCUCGUCGUGC
rnacentral:rRNA from 1 species